rnacentral:piRNA from 1 species
UAAAAUAAAAUAAAACAAGCUGAGUGUGGU